GAGUUGUCUUCCUUUCUUGUUCUUUGGAGGAGACGGUGGAAGGAGUUUCUGCGUCUCAGCUUGUUUGAUCUGUUGAACACGUCGUUCUGGGCAGAAUUAUGUCGCGCCGCCUGUGCAAUGUGGUAAAUCACCACCUUCUUCUGCCUGGAUGAAACCCGCACCUUCAACUAAAAUGUUUUGAUCUGAUUUACGAAACAUGAUGUGGACGUGGCACUCCGACCUGCCGAAGAAAGUUGCCACUGUGUCUGGAAUCUUGUCCGCCUUACUUUUUCAAGAUGAUGGCGAUGAAUCGUACCGGAAUUUGACCGAUACCGGAGUUUAGAUUAUGUCCAGCGGAAUUCGAGAUAUAUGCUGCGCUGUAUCUACUUCGAUACUAACGUUCUGAGCUCAACGUUUGCUGUUCACAUAUCCAGAAACUUUCAUAGGUGACUGCUCUCUCUUGGAUAAUUUAGUUAUGCAAGCAGCGCCUACCUGCCUUUGCAAACAAGAUGACUGCUAUCUCCGGGAUGAUUGGCUUCUACAAUAACGCCUCCCUGCUGCAUACAUGAUGUCAAGUCGCUACUGCACUUUGCUCCCUUGGCUGUCAUUGCUUUUCCUCUUUUACAAUAAACUAGAUCCAAAUUGGAUAUACUGC